UCCACACCAAAGGACCAAGACCAUCACCCUCUACAAUCAAAUAACCCCAUGAUGGGCAGCCAUUCCUAGGAACCUGGAGCCAGACAAGUGGAGCUACCAAACAGAGUUCCGGGAUGUGGCCAAGUAGGCCAUGAAGAAUCCUAGACUGGCAGAGGCGUAUCUGACAAACCCAAUAUGGCUGAGAUGGAGAAAGUUGAAAUUGAAGACAGAAAUGCAAGAGAAAAAUCAGCUGCCUCCAAAAGAAACAAAGGGAUGGAAGAAGGAAGCAGACAAGUGGAAAUGAGGCCAGUAGGCCCUGUCCAUUCUGCAAGCAUUGCUUUCUUAUUUUCCUUCUUUUCGCUGUUUGACUUUGUAAGAUGCCAAGGGUAGAUCAAGUUUAAACAUCCAUGUUCCCUUUUCACAUCAAAGAACGGUGAACUACUGACAACCAAGGCUAUGCCUGCCUCUCCCAUCUGCCUGCCUGGCUGGCAGAGAAAGAAAAUAACUCACACGCUGGUGAAGGAAGAAGCUGAGUAAGAUGACAAUGAAAUUAGGGGGGAAAUCCAAGCUGGUCCCCAGUGCCUUGUAGGGUGUAAAAUGUGGAUUAAUCAGAAUGCCAUUUAAAAAAUUCAAAUGAUCUUGAUUAUUGGAGUACACACAUUUUAAAUGCAUAAAUAAAAUGUUUUUAAAAUCUGGAAAACAAACAUGCUGAAGGCCGUACAGUGAUCUCUGAGUAGAGGACACUACACUUGCCUUCAAAGCUGUUCCCUGCUGAUUUCCUUCUGCCAAAGGAAGUUUGAAUUUGUUUGGUUUUUGAUAAAGUCACAC
rnacentral:lncRNA from 1 species